rnacentral:rRNA from 1 species
CUUACCAUGCAGUCGAACGAUGAUCUCCCGCUUGCGGGGGUGAUUAGUGGCGAACGGGUGAGUAAUACGUGAGUAACCUGCCCUUGACUCUGGGAUAAGCCUGGGAAACCGGGUCUAAUACUGGAUACUACUCCUCAUCGCAUGGUGGGGGGUGGAAAGGGUUUUACUGGUUUUGGAUGGGCUCACGGCCUAUCAGCUUGUUGGUGGGGUAAUGGCUCACCAAGGCGACGACGGGUAGCCGGCCUGAGAGGGUGACCGGCCACACUGGGACUGAGACACGGCCCAGACUCCUACGGGAGGCAGCAGUGGGGAAUAUUGCACAAUGGGCGGAAGCCUGAUGCAGCGACGCCGCGUGAGGGAUGACGGCCUUCGGGUUGUAAACCUCUUUCAGCAGGGAAGAAGCCACAAGUGACGGUACCUGCAGAAGAAGCGCCGGCUAACUACGUGCCAGCAGCCGCGGUAAUACGUAGGGCGCAAGCGUUGUCCGGAAUUAUUGGGCGUAAAGAGCUCGUAGGCGGUUUGUCGCGUCUGCUGUGAAAGCCCGGGGCUCAACCCCGGGUCUGCAGUGGGUACGGGCAGACUAGAGUGCAGUAGGGGAGACUGGAAUUCCUGGUGUAGCGGUGAAAUGCGCAGAUAUCAGGAGGAACACCGAUGGCGAAGGCAGGUCUCUGGGCUGUUACUGACGCUGAGGAGCGAAAGCAUGGGGAGCGAACAGGAUUAGAUACCCUGGUAGUCCAUGCCGUAAACGUUGGGCACUAGGUGUGGGGGACAUUCCACGUUCUCCGCGCCGUAGCUAACGCAUUAAGUGCCCCGCCUGGGGAGUACGGCCGCAAGGCUAAAACUCAAAGGAAUUGACGGGGGCCCGCACAAGCGGCGGAGCAUGCGGAUUAAUUCGAUGCAACGCGAAGAACCUUACCAAGGCUUGACAUUCACCGGACCGCACUGGAGACAGUGCUUCCCUUCGGGGUCGGUGGAC